AUAAAGUAACAGGGCUUUGCAAGGUUUGGAAGUAAUGUUAUUCAAAGGCAUACAAAUGUAUAUAUAGCACAUUUCAGAUCUGGUUAAAAGUGGUCCUGUUUUGCUGCCUUCUGCAGCUGUGUGCGAUGGGGGAAGCCGCAAAGACUCGAGUCAUAGUUUUCCAAGUAGGUCAAGAGGAGCAGCACGGACACCUCCAAUGAGCGGUUCUCUUCCCUGCUAUUAGAUUUUCUGUGAGGUUAACUCAUGUCACACACAUGACACUGAAAGCAGCAGACAGACAAGUGUUAGGGCACUCUUGCAGCAGAUGUCAUCUCUGUUCCUAAAGAUAGGGGCAAAUUUGCUAUGGAUAAUGCAUUACAAAACAAGAUAACGCUGGGACUCGGCAAGUGUCAAAUUGUACCUCCUCCAGUGCCUGGAGAAGUGAGGGAAUUGGUAUUAGGGGCUGCAGGAGCAGCGAUGUGGUGUAAAAGCAGCCUACUGUACUGUCUUACUUAGAGGUCAUGUGCCCUAUUUUGAGAACUGAACCAAAGCGGAUGAAGUUUUGAGCCGGUUCCAACUAAGGCAGCUGGGCAUUUCCCACUUCUCUCCAGCUCCAGCCCAGGAAUGCAGGCAAUCACAUGGUCACACAUAUUAUUCCUUUACCCGACAUUACUCACCGUAGAUUUAAUUUUUGUGCCAUUUGGCUCAUAUGGGUUAGAUUACUGGAGAUUUGCAGCUGGUCAGAAGUAGUUUGGGAAGACACUGGGAAAACAUUGGGGAUGACAGGCUAUGGUCCAGCUCCAGGAGCUCAUUCAAUGUGUCCCCUGGGCCCACCCUGGGCAGGUGAUCUUGCACAGCAUGGAGAGUUGGUCCUUGCCAGAUGCAUGCUGAUUUACACAGGUUUGGUUAAAAAAGGAGCCAUAAGUCACUGUUCUGAGAACCUGUCCUGGCUUUGGAGAUCAAGGUCACAGCAGAAUUUCUCUGCCCUAGACUAAAUAUCUGGUAAUGAAAAGUCAUGCAUUCCAGCAUUUUCCGACUGAACUCACCAGCACUUGGCUCACAAGCCAGGAGAGACAGAAAUUUUGGCACACUGGAUUGGUUUGUCCCUAGUAACUCACAGGUGAGAGCUGUAUUCUCGUCAACCCUAUUGUCUGGCUGUGGUUCAUUCUCUUCUGGUUUAAACCAACUCAGCUUGGUUUCCACAAAGGCUGCUCUCUCUAUCAGUGCUUGUGCAAUCCUGGCACCUGCAGCAUCCAAGUACCACACAGACCCGUUUCUUCUGAGUUCUAGAAAGAAGAGCAGCAUUAUCAGCAUUUUAUAGGCAGGGAGUGGAGGAACAAAGAGAUUGCAGGGUUUAUCUCAGGCCACCAAGAAGGUUACAAAGUACAAAGAUUGUUACUUCCCAAAUCACAGAUCACCGCCUUCCAUUGCAGACCAGGGUUCAUUUUCAGCCAGGGCCUUCCCAGGAAUGCUGCCUGAGCACGAGUGACAUAGACUUACAACACUUUUGGUUGUUGUCUGGGAAGGAGGACGCUCCAUGCUCUGUUUGAAUGGAUUCAUUAUUGGAAUGAAUUUAGAAACCCCAUAUUGUUGGGGCUUUUACCAUAUGGAUUAGCAGCAGCCACUGAAGAUUGACAUUACCUUCCCUGCCUGCUCGAACCUGGUCAGAAGAGUCACAUUCCAUGAAUGUGCAAGAAUUUCUGGCAUGAGUUCUUGUAACAUGCAUAUUUUCAUUUUGGCUUCUGUGCAUGUUGUUCAUGCCCUCACCACUUUGAACUCUGCUUUUCAUGAGUAAUUCUGACCAAAAAAAAAUCAUUCCUUCAUAUAUAUACAUGUAAAGUAAACACAUAAGAGGCUAAAUGAAAGUAAUUUCGUAAAUUUUUUUUGUUAUUUAUUCAUUUUGUAUUCCAUUCUCAGCCCUGGCUAGACACUCAUGGAGUAGAAAUUAUGUACCUCCUCAAGAUUUUCAAAGGAAGAUCAGCCAGGACUCAAAGGAAAUCUUGUUUCAGAGUCAAAGUUGUUCUAGGGCAGGGCUUAUAGAGGGUUUAGCAAACAAGAAUUUCUCUUGGCAUGGUUCAUUUAUGUCCUCUACUCGUGACUUAAAAUUGAAAACAUGAGCCUGUCAGAAAUCUUUUGUGUUCAACAGGUGCAUGGAAGACAUGACUACUUCCAAAUGUAAGAGCAGGUACUGAUCCUUUUAAUCUGGUUGCUUUAGUCCUGCUCUUGCCGGACUUUUCAAGUCCUAACCAUUACUCUUUUCUGUAUAAGAAGAAUGAAAAGGACAACUGAAAGGAAACACAGAACAGUUAAGGAACUGGAGGUGUUGGGCUGUAUUUGCAUUAUUUAUACCACUUUUAUAUAACCACAACAAUGGUGAUUGUAACAUGUUCUACACUAUCAGGAGAGAAAGAAUUAGAUCUUCUUUUAGUGGGUAUCAUUGAAAAAAUGAAUACAUAAAGUAGGCAGUACACUCUGCCUGCACAUUUUUAUUUCAGAGCUUGAACUGAAGGGUGUCUAAGCAAGUGCUUCCUUGUAAAUCCAUUGCGGAGAGCAAAUGAAUCCCUGGGACUGUCGCUCCUUGUUGAUCAUCAGUGGGCGUAGAUGCAGUAGAUGUAAAGGUCUAUGACUCACUGAGCUAGCUAAGGUGAAACCAGAUGAGAGGAGAUAAUUGCACCAUUAUAAAAAGAAUUAUCAUAGUUUGAUUACAGAAAAAAAAAAAUCUUCUAAUGGCGCCGUAACUCUUGGGAACUAAAAUAUGAGAUGGGACUGAAAAGUGAGGAGUUCAUGUCAAGGAAUAGCAAAAUGUCCUUUUUAAUUGAUCCAUUUUAAUCAGACAUGCCAAAAAGAUGAUUUCAAGGAUUGAAGGUAUAAUUGGUCAAAACAGCCUAAGGUGCUUCCCCAUGCCAGUUCUGAUUACAAUAAAAAAGAAGACUAAUCAAAGAGACA
ensembl:lncRNA